GCUUUUUGGACCUUCCGCCGCUCCUCCUAUACAAAGAAAGAGUCUAGUUGCCAUUUCAAAACCCUCAUCCCUCUAAAACCCUUAUCCUCUCCCAUCUCUCUCUUUCUUUCUUCUAUUGAAUCACCAUGGCUUCUGCAACCACAUCUCUAAUCAAGCCUCUAUCAAUGGCCACAUCUCUUUCAACACACUUAACAACUAAAACCACAUCUUACCCAUCUAUCUCUUUCCCUUCCAAAUCUGUUAAAGUUUCUCAACUUUCUACUUCAUUUUCAUCAUGGGUUCCUCUUAAAAACAAGAUUUCUUCAUUGGUAACUUUUGUUGCUUCAGAUUUUUCUCAAGUAACUGAAGAAGAUGGUGAUGAAAUUGAGACCCCUGGUGGAGAUGGGGGGUUUGUAGAGGAGGAAAGUAGUGAAGAGACUUAUGCUGAACCUUCUGAAGAUGCUAAACUCUUUGUUGGGAACUUACCUUACGAUAUUGACAGUGAGAAAUUAGCUAAUCUUUUUGACCAAGCUGGUGUUGUUGAGGUUGCUGAGGUUAUUUACAACAGGGAAACUGAUGAGAGCCGAGGGUUUGCGUUCGUCACGAUGAGCAGCGUUGAAGAAGCUGAGAAAGCUGUUGAGAUGUUCAACCGUUAUGAUAUAAAUGGCAGAACUUUAAAUGUAAACAAGGCUUCUCCUAAAGGUUCUCGUCCAGAGAGAACCCCUCGAUCAUUCGAGUCGUCUUCUUCUCUUAGACUGUAUGUUGGAAAUCUUUUGUGGCAAGUGGACGAUGCUCGCCUGGAGCAGGUGUUCAGUGAACAUGGUAAAGUGAUGGAUGCAAAGGUUGUUAUGGAUCGGGAAACUGGCCGCUCACGCGGGUUCGGCUUUGUAACGAUGUCAGCACAGUCGGAGUUGGAUGAUGCUAUUGCUGCUCUUGAUGGACAGAGUUUGGACGGAAGGAUGGUUAGAGUUAAUGUUGCUGAGCAGAGACCUCCAAGGCGCAACUUUUAAAUUCAACAGAUGAUUUUCGGUGACCCUUUUGUCUGUCUCCUGAAUCCAGAUUCCUUAUGGUGGUAGUUACAAGCUAGCUCAGAGUUUCAAGCCUAGGUUGAAACUCACUGACAAGCCACUCUUCAUGUGCGGUGUUGUUGUCACCUUUGGAACAACUUUUUGGCCACCAGCAACCUUGACUGCUGGUUACCUUAGCAAGAUUUUAAGCAUCCACUGUUGAGAAUUAGGUUUUAUACCUGUGGGUGUUCAUGUACGAGCAAGAAUAACUGUGCUAGUUCUGAAGUUCCCUUGGGACACUAGGAUAAAUGAUCAAUUCUGUACCCUGAUUUGAUUUGUGUAGAAUAGCCACGAAGUAGAAUAAAAGCACGAGCAGA